rnacentral:rRNA from 1 species
GGAGUUUGGACCGUGUCUCAGUUCCAAUGUGGGGGACCUUCCUCUCAGAACCCCUACUGAUCGUCGGCUUGGUGGGCCGUUACCUCACCAACCACCUAAUCAGAAGCGUGCUCAUCCAUAAUCCUUAACGUUUCACCAUCUUACCAUGCGGUAUGAUGGCACAUGGAGCUUUAAUUCGGCUUUCGCCGGGCUAUUCCCCGAUUAUGGACAGAUUGCACACCUGUUACGCACCCGUGCGCCGGUCGCCAUCAGUCAAAGCAAGCUUUGACCAUGCUGCCCCUCGACUUGCAUGUGUUAGGCCUGUCGCUAGCGUUCAUC